UUUGAAGUAAGUAGCUGCCUGAGUAAACUGCUUAAAGAAGAACCAGUGGUUACGUCUUUCUUGCUGGUCGAGUGGGACGCAACAAAUGGUGCCGAAGAAAUCCGGGACCCGAAUCCCCCACCGAAGAGGUUCAGAACUUUCUGCAGUCAGGGUCUGUCGACAGGAUGAGUACGGUAAGUAACUCAGUAUCCCGGGACUGGGAUUAGAGACAAAAAGGUUCUCGGUAAAGAGACAGUAAGGUUCUCGGUAAAGAGACAAUAAGGCUCUCUGGCUCUGGAGACAAGAAAGUGAAAGUAAGAGAGAAAGUGAAAGUAAGAGGGUAAUAGGGACAGUCUAUGGGUUAUUUUCUUUUUCUAGCCAUUGGAGUAAUUUUUCUGAGCCAUUUUUGUUGCUGUGGCGACUGUGUGGAGCAUGAAAGACUAGGUAUGGGGUCGUCACAGUCACACCCAAUUUUUUUCAGCGCUCAAUGAGCUGCUAAGAGCGAAGGGCGCAAAAGAAUAUUUUUUGGGUCAUAGUCAAACUUCUGUAUCUCCGUGGAAUACCCAAAAUUUUGUUAUCAGAAAGAAAUCAGGCAAAUGGAGGUUAUUACAGGAUCUGCAAGCUAUUAAUGCACAGUUGCAGGUGAUGGACUCCAUUCAGAGGGGUUUGUCUCUCUUAUAUGCCCUGCCAGAAAAGUGGCCUCUAAUAGUAAUUGAUAUUAAAGAUGGUUUCUUUUCCAUUCCCUUGAAUUUGAAAGAUAGUGUUAGAUUUGCUUUUACUUUGCCCUCCUGUGAUCAUGAAGAGCUUGAUCAAAGAUUUGAGUGGGUGGUGUUGCCUCAAGGAAGGGCUCAGAGUCCUACCAUGUGCCAGCUUUAUGUAGGAAAAGCAUUGGAACCAAUUAGGAAAGAAUAUCCCAAACUUCACUGUGUUCAUUACAUCCUACUUGCAGCAAAGGAUGAAAAGUAUUUGCAGGAAGCCUAUGGAAAGAUGGUGGAGAGUUUGAGGCAAUGGGGUUUGCAUAUUGCACCAGAGAAAGUGCAACAAGAGAAAAUAGACUCUUGUUUAGGAGCAAGGAUUGCCCCUACGGUCCUUUGGCCUCAAAAGAUACAAUUGAGGGUUGAUUCCUUGCAUACUUUGUUUCAAAUUUUAGAAGGAGACUCAGAGUUAAGUUCCGAAAGGGAAUUAACACCUGAGGCUAGAAAGGCCCUUACCCUAGUGGAAGAAGAAUUGAUUAAAGCCCAGUUUCAGCGUUGUAGAGAAGGGUUACCCAUCAUUUUGAUAAUAUUACCUACUGAGUUGCAACCCACAGGACUAUUGUGGCAAGAAGGUCCAUUGUUAUGGAUCCAUUCCAAAAUAUCUGCUGGGAGGACAUUAGAUCAUUACCCUACAACAGUGGCUUCUUUAGCCUUGUUGGGAAUUCAGCAUUGUUUACAAUAUUUUGGUAUAAAACCCAGCUCUAUUGUAAUCCCCUAUGAUAGGUAUCAGCAAAAGGUCCUAACAACAAAUAUUGAUGAGUGGGCUAUUUUAGCCUGUAUUAAUGAGGGCCCAUUUGAUAAAACACAGCCUACCAUAUAAUCCUCAAGGCCAGGGAAUCAUUGAACGAGCACAUAGAACCUUAAAAGAAUUACUAAUAAAACAAAAAGGGGGAAUAGGCUAUGGCCACACCACAAAGAUAAGAAAUUUUUUGCAAUUGGAUAAGGAAGGUCACUCUGCUGCUGAACGAUAUGCUAAUACCAGCUCCAGUAAAGUGGGGUAUGCUAAAUGGAAGGAUGUGCUUACAGGAUCAUGGAAUGGUCCGGAUCCUGUGUUAGCCUGGGGGAGAGGGUCUGUUUGCAUGUUUCCACAGAAUCUCGAAGAGCCAGUGUGGGUUCCAGAGAGGCUAGUGCGACGCUGUCAAAAUGAAGAAGCUGAUCUUGCUGGUGAUGAGCACGUGUCUGCCCCUGAUGGGUGCGGAACCCAGAUGGGGAAUACUGUUGGUGUUUAAAGAGGACUGCAAAUUUGAUGGCAAAAUGAAUGAGCUUCGCUCGGCAAUGGUCACCGUGAAUUCUACCUGAGUGGAUCCUGGCUUGGCAUCGGCAAAGAAUGGACUGGGAUAGGUGCCUUUGCUAUGGCCCUUGUUUUGGCAUGCAUGUUGUGUGUAUGGUGUAUGUGUCGGUUGCGGAAUGCCCAGGUCCACACUGCCGCCAUGGUGGUGCAAGCUUUUGCCACAGUGAAAGCAGGGAGUCACCUCAGAUUUGGCUUGCUACCAUGAAGAGUGAACAAUGAAGCCAUCGCUCCAUAGGGUUGUACGGCUAAGCACUGCACAGAGAGAACCUGGCAGCUCAAACCCACUGCAGGGAGACAUGGGAAGACAGACCAGGACAGACUCACUUGAGGUCACCCAGCCUAGCAGCUGUGUAAGGACAAACAGACAGGGGACAUGGAAGAGCAGAGAGGGCUUUCGGUGAUUUUCCAUGCCCAGCAGAGCUGAAGAAAAAAAAACAGAAGAGGCGGAUCAACACCUUAAGGCAGGAGAGAACCCUGGUGUCUACACACAGCCACCGCAGCAGGAGUAACAAGGGGACAACUAAGGAGCCCCAGAGAGGAGCCAAGGCAGAAACCACAGGGAGCACAGAUGCUGAAGGAGAGGGACAGAAGGAGUGGACAGGAAGCCGGGGCUGAAGACAGACAGACUGCCUUGAAGAUCCAACAAUGACAAACUGCCCACUCCAGUUUGAGCUCUGAAAACCACCAAGCCUCAAGAGCCAAGGCUCCUGGGGCUGGAGAGACCGCUCAGAGAGUCAAGGCUCCUGGCACUGCAGGCCCGAGGCGUGUGGCAGUGUGGUACUAACUGUGAUUGGAGCUGAGGACACAAACACCCAGAGACCACCUUGGGGCGCGAACGCCACUGUGCUCCCUGGUGCUGCUGCCAAUCUCUCCCACUGGAAGCUGGGUGUCUCACAGCUGUCAAGUGCUGGAAUGGCUACUAGCUGAAGAACAGAGCAAACACCAGGUGCCAGUGAAAUUACUUUCCAUCCAUAAAGAAUAAAAAACUCAUCUGCAGUAUCUUCAACUUUUGCCUAUUUACGUGAUUGCUGCUAGAUUUAAAACAGGGUUUCGCAAGCGGUCCAUGACCUCGUCUGCCCAACAAAGACGGUUCAAGUCUAUUCUUAGGGUGUGACAAAUCUUCCUGAGAACGAGAUAACCCCAAAAGCCUCCCAGCCAUGGGUCUCCCAGGACAUAACUGAUACUCAAAGGACCCAGGGACCCUUAGGGACGAGCUCAUUCAUCUCUCCCAAUCCUUCCUUCACCCAACACAGACUCCCUGACCCAGGCUGGCCCUGCCUCCUGUGCCGAAGCCAAAAGGCAUGACAUUCAAAGGUACUGGCUUAGCUCACUGACCAGGGCAGGGGCACCAUCUGGUUGAGGGACACUCCAUCCCACCUGGUUCUCAGCCCUAAGGAACAGGGCAUUUCCCUGAACCACCCUUCUCCCUCCUAGGACAGACUUUCCGGAAGACAUCUAUACUAUUGAAGAUAAGCACCGUAGGAGUUUAGCUGAUGUGAUGGAAGUUGAUUCUCUUCUGUACCUGCUGGCCAUGCAAUACAAGCAGAGCUUGGUUCCUUUGUAUGCAGAGGAGAGGGAGCAAGCAGGGUACGAUGACCAGUCUCCACUGACAACUAGACUGGAUGGUGAGUCGCCCAGGAGACACACACCUCUGUGAGAGCCCGUUAGGGUGUUUCCGAGGAUACGUAACUGAGUAGAGAAGAGCCACCCUGAAAGCAGUCACCCUGUCCCAUGAGCCAGGGCAGCCAGCAGAAGAAAUCAGGAGGAAGUGAGCUGAGCUUGAGCAUCCAUUUUGCUUCCUGCCUGUGAGCAGGAUGUGACCAGCAAUCACGUUCCUGAUGUCUUCCUUCUCCGCUGGAACAGACUUUAUCCCCUCAGACCUUGGGCUGAAAUAAAGCUUUCCUUCCUUC